GGAGGAGUACGCUCGGGAGCCCUGGUACGGCAAUGGGCACAGGCAUCCGGAAUAUUGCUGCGACGCCAAGGCCAGCCGUGGGGGUCGGGCGGGGGAGGCAUCGGCCGCACAGAGCCAUGUACCAGACUCGGGGGACUCUUAACGUAUCUCCCGCUACCCCCACUCGGUUCCUGUCAUUCGGGCUCCGUUAUGAGGGGCCACAACCAGAGAAGCCCAUGGCGAAUUGUGGAUGAUUGCGGUGGAGCCUUCACUAUGGGUGUCAUCGGUGGCGGAGUCUUCCAGGCCAUCAAGGGUUUCCGCAAUGCCCCUGUUUGCAGAUUGCUGUCUGAAGCUCCCUUGUUUAUCUACUCUUGCUCAAGAUCUGUGUCUCCCACCGUUAAUGUGAGCUCUGAGAGGGCAGAGAGCAGACCUACCUUGUUCAUGGCUGUAUCCCUGCAUAUGGCAUGGUGCUUGGCACAUAUAGGAAUUCGGCACCGGUUGAGAGGUAGUGCCAAUGCUGUGAGGAUCCGAGCCCCCCAGAUUGGAGUAGCUUCGCAGUGUGGGGGGGCCUGUUCUCCACCAUCGACUGUGGCCUGGUGCGGCUUCGGGGCAAGGAGGAUCCCUGGAACUCUAUCACCAGUGGAGCAUUGACCGGGGCUGUGCUGGCUGCCCGCAGUGGCCCACUG
rnacentral:lncRNA from 1 species